UAACAAGGAUUCCCCUAGUAACUGCGAGUGAAGAGGGAAAAGCUCAAAUUUAAAAUCUGGCGGUCCUUGCGGCUGUCCGAGUUGUAAUUUAGAGAAGUGUCGCCCGUGUUGGACCGUGUACAAGUCUCCUGGAACGGAGCGUCGUAGAGGGUGAGAAUCCCGUAUAUGACACGGACUACCAAUGCAUUGUGGUGUGCUCUCGAAGAGUCGAGUUGUUUGGGAAUGCAGCUCAAAAUGGGUGGUAAAUUCCAUCUAAAGCUAAAUAUAGGCGAGAGACCGAUAGCGAACAAGUACCGUGAGGGAAAGAUGAAAAGAACUUUGGAAAGAGAGUUAAACAGUACGUGAAAUUGUUGAAAGGGAAACGCUUAAAGUCAGUCGCAUUUGUUGAAGAUCAACCUGGCCUUUUGGCUUGGUGCACUCUUUGAUGAAUGGGUCAGCAUCAAUUUUGACCGAGGGAAAAAGUUGAAGGGAAUGUGGCACCUCUCGGGGUGUGUUAUAGCCUUUUUUCAUAUACCUCGGUUGGGAUUGAGGAACUCAGCACGCCCGCAAGGGUUGGGCUUCGGCUACAUACGUGCUUAGGAUGCUGGCGUAAU
rnacentral:rRNA from 1 species